rnacentral:lncRNA from 1 species
UUUCUUUUUCUUUCCUUUUCUUUCCUGCGCCUGAGACUCCACUGCUGGCAGAAGCAACUCGCGCCUCCACCAGCUCGAUCGGACUCCGCUGCGCGCCACAGUCGUUCUCCUCCGCUCGAUCAUUACUCCUCGCGACCCCGCCACAGCUCCGCUACUGUUCCUCCGCGCGCUCAGCCUUGUUGCAGCUCCAGCGCGCCGCUGACCUCCAUGAGCAGAUCCGUCGAGCCUGCAGUUGCGCCACCAGCUGCUCCGCCACCAGAUCGCAUAGCGCCACCACUGCAGCUCAACUCUAGCGUCAAUCUCAGGUGGUCCAGCCGCUCCAGCCUGACUCCGGCCAUCUGCUUGCAGUCCUAGUGCGCGUAGCUUCAAUCCGGCACGCGUAAAGCUCGAUCUAGCAAUCUGCGACAAAAACUAAUUAAUUUUUGCGGUAUAAAUUAAUGUU